GAGCGGCGGACGGGUGAGUAACGCGUGGGAAUAUGCCCUUUGGUACGGAACAACUGAGGGAAACUUCAGCUAAUACCGUAUGUGCCGGGGGAAAGAUUUAUCGCCAUUGGAGUAGCCCGCGUUGGAUUAGCUAGUUGGUAGGGUAAAGGCCUACCAAGGCUACGAUCCAUAGCUGGUCUGAGAGGAUGAUCAGCCACAUUGGGACUGAGACACGGCCCAAACUCCUACGGGAGGCAGCAGUAGGGAAUCUUGCGCAAUGGGCGAAAGCCUGACGCAGCCAUGCCGCGUGAAUGAUGAAGGUCUUAGGAUUGUAAAAUUCUUUCACCGGGGAAGAUAAUGACGGUACCCGGAGAAGAAGCCCCGGCUAACUUCGUGCCAGCAGCCGCGGUAAUACGAAGGGGGCUAGCGUUGCUCGGAAUUACUGGGCGUAAAGGGCGCGUAGGCGGAUACUUAAGUUAGAGGUGAAAGCCCAGGGCUCAACCCUGGAAUAGCCUUUAAUACUGGGUAUCUUGAGUUCGGGAGAGGUGAGUGGAACUCCGAGUGUAGAGGUGAAAUUCGUAGAUAUUCGGAAGAACACCAGUGGCGAAGGCGACUCACUGGCCCGAUAC
rnacentral:rRNA from 1 species